GCGUAGGUGAUGGACAACAGGUUGAUAUUCCUGUACUACCGAUAACCGUUUGAGAGAAGGGAUGACACAGUAGGAUAAGCUAAGCACACUGUUGGUUAUGUGUGCCCAAGCAUUGAGGCAGUCAAAGUAGGCAAAUCCGCUUUGAUAAUGCUGGGAUGUGAUGGGGAGCGAAAUUUAGUAGCGAAGUAGCUGAUUUCACACUGUCAAGAAAAGUCUCUAUCGAGGUUAAAGGUACCCGUACCGCAAACCGACACAGGUGGGUGAGGAGAGUAUCCUAAGGCCAGCGAGAGAACUGUUGUUAAGGAACGCGGCAAAAUGACCCCGUAACUUAGGGAUAAGGGGUGCCACCAUCCGGUGGCCGCAGAGAAUAGGCCCAAGCGACUGUUUACCAAAAACAUAGGUUUCUGCUAAGUCGCAAGACGAUGUAUAGGAGCUGACGCCUGCCCGGUGCUGGAAGGUUAAGGGGAUCUGUUAGAGCAA
rnacentral:rRNA from 1 species